UACGAAGGGGGCUAGCGUUGCUCGGAAUCACUGGGCGUAAAGCGCACGUAGGCGGCUUGUUAAGUCAGGGGUGAAAUCCUGGAGCUCAACUCUAGAACUGCCUUUGAUACUGGCGAGCUUGAGUUCGGGAGAGGUGAGUGGAACUGCGAGUGUAGAGGUGAAAUUCGUAGAUAUUCGCAAGAACACCAGUGGCGAAGGCGGCUCACUGGCCCGAUACUGACGCUGAGGUGCGAAAGCGUGGGGAGCAAACAGG
rnacentral:rRNA from 1 species